rnacentral:rRNA from 1 species
UACGAAGGGUGCAAACGUUGUCCGGAAUUAUUGGGCGUAAAGAGCUCGUAGGCGGUCUGUCGCGUCGAUCGUGAAAACUUGGGGCUUAACCCUGAGCUUGCGGUCGAUACGGGCAUGACUGGAGUUCGGCAGGGGAGACUGGAAUUCCUGGUGUAGCGGUGAAAUGCGCAGAUAUCAGGAGGAACACCGGUGGCGAAGGCGGGUCUCUGGGCCGAUACUGACGCUGAGGAGCGAAAGCGUGGGGAGCGAACAGG